rnacentral:rRNA from 1 species
AUUGAACGCUGGCGGCAGGCCUAACACAUGCAAGUCGAGCGAGCGGCGGACGGGUGAGUAAUGUAUGGGGAUCUGCCCGAUGGAGGGGGAUAACUACUGGAAACGGUGGCUAAUACCGCAUACUAUCGGAUGUGCCCAUAUGGGAUUAGCUAGUAGGUGGGGUAAAGGCUCACCUAGGCGACGAUCGCUAGCUGGUCUGAGAGGAUGACCAGGCACACUGGAACGGAGACACGGGCCAGACUCCUACGGGAGGCAGCAGUGGGGAAUAUUGCACAAUGGGCGCAAGCCUGAUGCAGCCAUGCCGCGUGUAUGAAGAAGGCCUUAGGGUUGUAAAGUACUUUCAGCGAGGAGGCGUUACCCGCAGAAGAAGCACCGGCUAACUCCGUGCCAGCAGCCGCGGUAAUAC